CGCACCUUGCACCUUUUGGUACUCCGAAAGGUAUGCCUGUUUGAGUGUCAUGAAAUCUCAAUCCCCUCGGGUUUUAUUACCCGGCGGUGGACUUGGACUUGGGCGUCUGCCAUUCAGUUGGCUCGCCUCAAAUGUGUCAGUGGGAUCCAGCAUCCACGGCCCGACGUAAUAAGUUUCGUCUGGUCGGAUGGUGUGAGCCUGCUCAUAACCCCCCAUAUUCUGACUCUGACCUCAAAUCAGGUAGGGCUACCCGCUGAACUUAA
rnacentral:misc_RNA from 1 species